rnacentral:tRNA from 1 species
GCGAGUGUGGCGGAAUUGGUAGACGCACUGGAUUUAGGUUCCAGCGCCGUAAGGUGUGUGGGUUCGAGUCCCUCCACUCGCACCA